UACGGAGGGAGCUAGCGUUGUUCGGAAUUACUGGGCGUAAAGCGCGCGUAGGUGGUUUGUUAAGUUGAAUGUGAAAGCCCGGAGCUCAACUCCGGAACUGCCUUUGAAACUAGGUGACUAGAAUCUUGGAGAGGCGAGUGGAAUUCCGAGUGUAGAGGUGAAAUUCGUAGAUAUUCGGAAGAACACCAGUGGCGAAGGCGACUCGCUGGACAAGUAUUGACGCUGAGGUGCGAAAGCGUGGGGAGCAAACAGG
rnacentral:rRNA from 1 species